AGGACGAACGCUGGCGGCGUGCUUAACACAUGCAAGUCAGGGGGCCCGCAAGGGUCACCGGCGAACGGGUGCGUAACACGUGAACAACCUGCCCGAGCGAGGGGGGAUAGCCGGCCCAACGGCCGGGUAAUACCGCAUAUGCUCACGGUGCCUUAUGGCGCAGUGAGGAAACCUUCGGGGCGCUCGGAGGGGUUCGCGACCUAUCAGCUAGUUGGUGGGGUAAUGGCCUACCAAGGCAACGACGGGUAGCUGGUCUGAGAGGAUGGCCAGCCACAUUGGACUGCGACACGGCCCAGACUCCUACGGAGGCAGCAGUGGGGAAUAUUGCGCAAUGGUCGAAAGGACUGAACGCAGCGACGACCGCGUGGAGGAUGACGCCUCGGUGUAACUACCUGUUGCUCGGACGAACCGUGGAGUUACAUCCACUCGACGUACGAGU
rnacentral:rRNA from 1 species